ACAUGACCAAUGGGGGUCAAAGUCUAGUAUCUGUUCUUAGCAGCCAAAUAUCUCAUACGGGCGUUUAUUCAGACAGAAAAUGUUAAACAAAGAGUUGCAAGUUCGCGGAGUGCUUGCAGCCUGCUUCACCUCUGCCACCGGUCGCCGUGGUAUUGCAUUAUCUUCGGGAUCGGCACAAAAGUU